rnacentral:tRNA from 4 species
CUCCUCGUCGUUCAAUGGAUAGGAUGCCUCCCUCCGAAGGAGGCGAUGUAGGUUCGAUUCCUACCGAGGGGACCA